UUCCAUCAAUCAAAUAAUCAGUUUUAUCUCUUCUUCCACCUUCAGAAGAAUGAAGCUGAAGCAUAGAUAUCUCCAGCUCCCCCUAUCGUUAGAAUUUUCUGAAAGGUAACUAUCUCAUUUUCGUUUGUAUAGAAAUUCAUAUAGAAUCUUUGAAAAAUACCUUUCUCGAUAAUAAAGGACUUACUAUCUUUGGAAUCUGAUGCUAUACUGCUACUCAGCACCUUAGUGGAUCAACUCUAUUACAUAAGUUGAUUCCUAACUUUAUAUCUCAUAUCUUGACAUAAGUAAGCAGGUCUUAUUGUAUGGGCCCAAAACCUCAAUCAUUGAUCUUUACGGUGCUUCCUCUAUCAAUUAGAUCUUUUAUCU
rnacentral:lncRNA from 1 species